AGUGAACGCUGGCGGUAGGCCUAACACAUGCAAGUCGAACGGCAGCACAGUAAGAGCUUGCUCUUACGGGUGGCGAGUGGCGGACGGGUGAGGAAUACAUCGGAAUCUACUUUUUCGUGGGGGAUAACGUAGGGAAACUUACGCUAAUACCGCAUACGACCUACGGGUGAAAGCAGGGGAUCUUCGGACCUUGCGCGAUUGAAUGAGCCGAUGUCGGAUUAGCUAGUUGGCGGGGUAAAGGCCCACCAAGGCGACGAUCCGUAGCUGGUCUGAGAGGAUGAUCAGGCACCCUUGAACUGAGACACGGUCCAGACUCCUACGGGAGGCAGCAGUGGGGAAUAUUGGACAAAGGGCGCAAGCCUGAUCCAGCCAUACCGCGUGGGUGAAGAAGGCCUUCGGGUUGUAAAGCCCUUUUGUUGGGAAAGAAAAGCAGCAGGUUAAUACCCCGCUGUUCUGACGGUACCCAAAGAAUAAGCACCGGCUAACUUCGUG
rnacentral:rRNA from 1 species